UCCCAUCAAGGGCAUCAGGGCCAGACACCCAUGCGAUGUCGGCACAUUUCCUUCCAUUGGCAUAGCUAAGUAUUGAUUAUUCACAAAAAGAAAACCCAUUCCACCGUUUGCCAUUUUUGUUAUGCACAACCUCCUUAUACCUCGUUCUCCUCCUGCAAACAUUCACCUCACAAAAAUUCAAUUUCUGCUCUGAACGAUAAGAGGCAACAACAGUGCGCCUGCCAAAGUAUGAAGUGCUGAAGCAGUCAAAGUUAGAUUCGCCUCAGUUUGGCAUCUGGGUUUCCAUCAGUGCGCCGGUUUCAAUGGUGAAGCAGUGCAUGCUGAAAUAAGAUUUCCUGAUUUGGAGCUUGCUUAAGGCCAAAUUCAAUGCUAUUAACUGACCGUUGGCAGCUAAUUUAGAGGGUGUUAUCUUUUCCUGUCCGAAUUUGGAAAACAAUUUGCAAUUCAGGUACUGGUCUGAGGUCUGGCUCAGCAUGACCUGCUGUUGAAGGUAGAGCACUAGUAAAUACCCAACAAGCGGAGGAGAUCACUGUCCGGUCCUACUACUCCACCCCGUCUUUCCGAAGCUUCAUCCGUCCACUCCGUCACAGACUCGAACGACUACAUCCAGUCCCUUGUCAACUACUUUAGAAUGCCACGAGACCACACCAUUGCAAAGGCACAUUGAGAUGAAAACAUGGAAAUACACUUCUGUAUGACAUAUGUCGAAUGGAAAAAGAGUGGGGAGUGGAAUCCAAACAUUGCAUCAGAUGCCAAUUGGAUGAAACUUGCUUCCCACCUAAAUUUGACCUGGGGAAAGCAACAUAGUUGGACAGUGUACCAUUCUAAAUUCUUGAACAAGAUUUGGAGUGCCUUUGCCAAGUUAAAGAGUCUGUGACAAACGUUCGAAACUGGUAUUGGUUGGGAACAAGAAUAGGAGAUGCUUCUUGGCUGAAGAUUCUCAAUGGAACAAUUUGCAAAUAGUAACAUCUCAAAUAACUUAAAUUCAGUUCCAGUCAUGUAACUUGCUAUGGCAGUAUUUCGUCUUACCAUGUACUGUGGAAUAUUCCUGUUUCUUUAACCUGUAACGUAUAAUUACUACUGCAUGAACCAUUACUUGUUUAUUUGUCUUUGGCCUUAGCAUCUUAUAGCAUGAACAUUAGUUAUAGUUGGACAGUUAGGGAAGUUUUGAAAUAUCCAUCAGCACCUAAUCUGUCUCUUGUUAUCAAAGAUGACCCAUUUACAAUAUUAUAAGGUAACAGCAAAUGUGCAAAUCAAGUAGAAGGAAUUGUUCAAAGUAUUUUACUUCCGGGGCCUAUACAGUGCAUAACUGAAUACACUUGGCCAUAAAAUAUCCCCCGUGGGCUUUUGGGUUAUAUUUGUCCUCGCACUUAAUAUUUUGUCAUUGUGAAUGAUGACAUAUUUCACCUUCCUUGUUGUCGCUUUCCAACAGGAGAACCAAGAUUAUAGGAACUUUAGAUAUUUCCAAUGUAUCGACAAAUAUGCUAUCCUGUUUGAGGUCUUAGAAGGAGAAACCGCUACAGGGAAUCAGGCUCAAGCUUCUUCGGUACCGCCUUCAAUUUUGAAUCCACGCAAGCGAGCUGGACAUACUGGUGGGCAGAUUUUCUCUUCACAAUUUGGUGAUGAAGUGUACAACGCAGGCCAAGAUGUCGACUUCAACAAAGAAGCUCCAAGUGUAGGAGUUAAGUGAGCAUCAAGCAGUCAGGGGGCACGACUUCGCUCCCAACUGGAUCUCAUGGAAGCAAGUCAAGUAGAAGUACAAACAAUCCUUUCGCCGAAUGUGCCCACUCGCUCUCCACCCUAGCAAAUUCAAAACUACAGAUCAAAGGUCGCAGAGAAUCUGAAAAAGAGAAAUUUGAUGUGACUAUGGCAGCUCAGGUCGUGGAAUCGUUCGAAUCGGUGCACAAAGGGAGGAAGCUCACUGCUGUUUUACAACUCCAGGAAGACAAGUGACGGAAGAUUUUCCUGAGUCUCACUCGCGAUCUUCAAGAGUAUUGGUUGAAUUUUUUGGAGAUUGCCUCUCAGAUGGGGCCAGAUGAAAGGUAGGUGAGACUUCAGAUUUUAGUGGCUGUGCAUGACAACUACAGGCAGACAAACUGCUCGGCCUUUAAAUAUUUGAGUGAAAGUGCUGUUUGUAUUUUGGCAUAGCUGAGUUGGGAUUUUCGGCCUGUCAUUAAAUGUAUUUCCUUCAAAAAACUUGUUUGGAUAAUUAUGAAAUGUUGAGUUUCUUAUUCCGCAUUCCUUGAAAUAACUUCACCUAUGCAAUU